AUGUGCCUUAGGGGAGGGGGGAGUUGAUUGCAAGAAAUAAAAUAAAUGCUGUUACGCUGCGAGGGCUGAUGGAAACAAGAGAGACCGGCUGAGGGGGUGGGGGGCGCCUAGUGCCCUUGAGUCUUAUCCAGAGGCCUUUGUGGGUUCCCAGUUAAACCCUCCCACGCCUCAGUCGCUCGAUUUCCCCCACCCCCAACGCCCUCCAAUAUUCAGAGCGCAGGCCCUGAUCUCCCACCAACCCCCUCAUCCCUCUCGGGAUCCAGAAUGUUUUUCUUAUUUUAAUACAGCUCAAGAAAAAAUAUGUAUCUUGAGAGGAUCGGGGUGGGGGAUUGUGCAAAAGGCUUGCGGGAUUGGAAAAAAACAAAGGCCUGUUUUUAUAAAUGUUUAAUGUUUUCACCCCUGGAUGCUCCAAGACGCCGUAAUUGUGACGGCGGGGUAUGUGUGCCAUAAAUCAUUUAGCUGCUAAUAAAAAAUUAUUCCAAUUUUCCCCG
rnacentral:lncRNA from 1 species